rnacentral:rRNA from 1 species
GACGAACGCUGGCGGCGUGCUUAACACAUGCAAGUCGAACGGAAAGGCCCUGCUUGCAGGGUACUCGAGUGGCGAACGGGUGAGUAACACGUGGGUGAUCUGCCCUGCACUUCGGGAUAAGCUUGGGAAACUGGGUCUAAUACCGGAUAGGAGCCAUCUUUAGUGUGGUGGUUGGAAAGUUUUUUCGGUGUAGGAUGAGCUCGCGGCCUAUCAGCUUGUUGGUGGGGUAAUGGCCUACCAAGGCGGCGACGGGUAGCCGGCCUGAGAGGGUGUACGGCCACAUUGGGACUGGGAUACGGCCCAGACUCCUACGGGAGGCAGCAGUGGGGGAUAUUGCACAAUGGGCGCAAGCCUGAUGCAGCGACGCCGCGUGGGGGAUGAAGGCCUUCGGGUUGUAAACUCCUUUCGCUAGGGACGAAGCUUUUUUGUGACGGUACCUAGAUAAGAAGCACCGGCUAACUACGUG